CGGCGGACGGGUGAGUAAUGCCUAGGAAUCUGCCUGGUAGUGGGGGACAACGUUUCGAAAGGAACGCUAAUACCGCAUACGUCCUACGGGAGAAAGCAGGGGACCUUCGGGCCUUGCGCUAUCAGAUGAGCCUAGGUCGGAUUAGCUAGUUGGCGAGGUAAUGGCUCACCAAGGCGACGAUCCGUAACUGGUCUGAGAGGAUGAUCAGUCACACUGGAACUGAGACACGGUCCAGACUCCUACGGGAGGCAGCAGGG
rnacentral:rRNA from 1 species